rnacentral:lncRNA from 1 species
GAGCGAUUUAAACCACCUCGGAGUUUCACCUGCUCCUUAUUAAUAACCAGGACAUACUGCACGCCGGCACAGGGCCGAGUUCCUUUGACCCAGACCAUCAUAUUGAACUCUCCAGCCGAGGCUCAGAGAGGGUGAGUAACAUGCCCACGGUCACACAGGAAAGGGCAGAGCUGGGGCUGCCACCCAAGCCUGUUGGAUACCAGCCCAUGUUCCUAACCACCUAGCCACCUCCACUUCAAGUCCGAAGAAACCCCUCCUGGUACCGUCCUAGCAAACCCCACAAACUCACAGCCCCUUCCCCUGACCCCAGCCGAGCCCCGACCGGAGCGCUAGCAUGGCUGCCUCUGCUGUGCGUGUUAGGUGGAAUGUGUUUUCCUUCCUGCUGUGCCAGGUCGGGACCUGAAGGGAGCGCUGGCUGGCGUGGCCCCUGAGCCACAGCCCGGACUACAGAGUGCAGGGGGAGGUCUCGCAUUUCCCGUGAAGCCCAGACUCACAAAUCAGUGCGGGACCGCGCUGCGAGCUGGAAAUCACUUAAUGUGCAGCAUGGUUCCCAUCCCCACUCCGCCAUUCUCAAGCUGUGUGACCUUUGGGAAGUCACUCACCUCUCUGUGCCUUGGUUUCCUCAUCUGUGAAACAGAAGAAGGAACACCCCCCCCAUCUCAUAGGUGCAUGAGGGACUUCAAGAAGAAUAGCUCCUGCUUACUGAGCACGUGCUGUGGGGUUUGCUUCUUACGACAACGCUGAGAAGUAGGAACGAUUUUGCCAUCCCCAUUUUACAGAAAAGAAACCGAGAUGACAUGGCUAACCUGAACUCACACUGCGAGGAAGUGGAUUUGAACCCAGGCGGUCCAGAGUCUACACCUUGCUGCCCGUUAGGGUUCACUCGCCGACAAUCUUUCCCGGCACGAGAACAGAGACAGUGUCUGUCGUCUUCGCCAUUGUAUCCCCAGUGCCUGGGACAGGGCCCAGCACGUAGUGGAGGCUCAAAAAUCCCAGCCUGCUGGGCAGAGUGUCCUCCUGCCCCCAUGGGGCCCCAGCUCCUCUCAGCCUGCCCAACUCCUGGCUCUCCCAACUUCCAACCCCAGGACCAUACCCUCGUCUCCUGUUUCAGGUAUGAGAGGCCCAUGAGGCACCUUCACAUGAUAUGGCGACUGGGAGGACCCACUGGUGUUCUGUGGCAGGAGUCUCUCAGUUGCCAAGUGGCUAAAAGCUGCACACAAACAGGCUUCAGCCACAGAGAGAUUGACUGACUCACAUGGCUGAGAAAUCUAAGGGUAACUGCUUUCAGGUAUGGCUGCAUCUAGGUGCAAAGCCCAUAUCAUCAGGACUCAGUUUCUCUCUGUCGGGUUUUGCAUGGCUCUGAGUGGAUUCAUUCUCAGGCCACAUGGCCCCCAGAAGCUCUGAGCUUAUGUUCUCCCAGCUCCAAGAGGAGUGGAAUAAAACAUUUUCUUAUUGGACUCUUCUGCCCA